rnacentral:piRNA from 1 species
CUUGCAGGGGCUUAGGACUGUAGAG